rnacentral:lncRNA from 1 species
AUUAUUAUUACUUUUAGGGGGUUUGCGGGGGAGGUGGUUCAUAGAAUAUUAUUAUUCGCUUUAAGCACUGGAUUAUCCUAAUUUUAUGUUGUUAUUUAUAUUAUUUUUGAUAAUAUUUCAAAAUCGUUACUGGAAAUUAAACCUCCGUUUUUUCCUAUAAUUUCUUCUUCGAAAGGCAAAUAAUCUCAUCAAUGCAAAUUGCAUCUAGGUGAAAGGAAAAGAUGAUUUCAAUCUUUUCAUCUUCAACUAACAGAAUCAAGCGAAAAAAAAAAAAAAAAUGAAUGCAAAAUUUGAAACCUAAAAACCUAUGGACAUCGCUAACUGUUCUGAAGUUGAAUUGAUUGUAGUUCUGCAACUGAGUAGAAGUUUUUUCAAAAUUCAGAAAGAAUGCACUUUUUAUUACCAAAGAAGCUCUAUAUUUCCACCACUUAAUAAAGAAUAGCAUUUUGGGGCUUCUGAAUUCAAUGGCCUCUGAUGCUCGGUAAAAAUAGGACUAGCCAUAAUUUCAAUAUUCAGCUGAUUCCCAAGCGUCUGUAACAGUAGAAUAUUUACGUUAGAUGCAGAAUCAAACAAGCUAAGGACUGUGGAAAAAAUGAACACUGACGAGUGGAUUUGAAAAAUAAAAAUUAUUAAAAAGAUCAAAAGACUUCCAUUUUGCUUUUAGAUUCAUAGCUUUAAUCCUGCUACCUGUUGUUGGACCAUCCUCCAGUUUCUGAUACUCUAAUCUGACCUCCGCAUUGAUUUGGCUUCACAUGACAUUGCU